rnacentral:sRNA from 1 species
AUCCCCGCCCCCUCCCCCAGCGGUCAAGAUGGAGGGAGCGGGCGGCCUCCCCUCCCCACGCGUGUUGGGAGGGGUUCUCGGGUAGCGGCGAUGGUCAGCCCCGGCUCCCCCUUCCGCACGAUCCUCCGCCCGCAGCGUGGGGAUGCUCGGGCAGCUCCUCCACUCCCGGUUUAGGUGUGAACGUUGGAGGGGUCUGGAGGUUUUGGUGGCGUUUUCCGGAACAUGUCCCCCUCCAUGGGGGACAUCUCGGGAGGGGAGAAGUUAGGGCCGCGUCCCCCGUGCCGGUUAAAGGGGUAGGCACCGGGCUCCUCCGGAAUCAUCAGGGUCUGUCGGGGCUCUCUCCCCGCCCCCUCCCAGUCCUGGGAAAGAUGGGAGGACGGGGUGGAGACAGGUGGGCCUUGGCCCCCGCACCCCUCUGCGUUCGUGUCCGAGGCGGCGGCGGGGGCUCCCGAACUCCCCUGAAAUCGUGGGGCUCCAUGUGGCCUCCGGCAGCGUUCCACCCUCCCCCACCUGGGGAAGGGAAGGGGUGGGGAGUGCCCGGCCCCGUCCCGGCCUUCCUCCUUCCCCCGCCAGACCUCUCCGGCGCGCGGGUGGUGGCCGAUCCGCAUUGCUGUUCGAGGCCGCAGUGGAGAAGGCGCCUGUGGAACAUCGAGGUCGAAACAGUAACAAAGGACUGCCUCAGUCUACGAUUUCUUUUGAUGGAAUCUAUGCAAAUAUGAGGAUGGUUCAUAUACUUACAUCAGUUGUUGGCUCCAAAUGUGAAGUACAAGUGAAAAAUGGAGGUAUAUAUGAAGGAGUUUUUAAAACUUACAGUCCGAAGUGUGAUUUGGUACUUGAUGCCGCACAUGAGAAAAGUACAGAAUCCAGUUCGGGGCCGAAACGUGAAGAAAUAAUGGAGAGUAUUUUGUUCAAAUGUUCAGACUUUGUUGUGGUACAGUUUAAAGAUAUGGACUCCAGUUAUGCAAAAAGAGAUGCUUUUACUGACUCUGCUAUCAGUGCUAAAGUGAAUGGCGAACACAAAGAGAAGGACCUGGAGCCCUGGGAUGCAGGUGAACUCACAGCCAAUGAGGAACUUGAGGCUUUGGAAAAUGACGUAUCUAAUGGAUGGGAUCCCAAUGAUAUGUUUCGAUAUAAUGAAGAAAAUUAUGGUGUAGUGUCUACGUAUGAUAGCAGUUUAUCUUCGUAUACAGUGCCCUUAGAAAGAGAUAACUCAGAAGAAUUUUUAAAACGGGAAGCAAGGGCAAACCAGUUAGCAGAAGAAAUUGAGUCAAGUGCCCAGUACAAAGCUCGAGUGGCCCUGGAAAAUGAUGAUAGGAGUGAGGAAGAAAAAUACACAGCAGUUCAGAGAAAUUCCAGUGAACGUGAGGGGCACAGCAUAAACACUAGGGAAAAUAAAUAUAUUCCUCCUGGACAAAGAAAUAGAGAAGUCAUAUCCUGGGGAAGUGGGAGACAGAAUUCACCGCGUAUGGGCCAGCCUGGAUCGGGCUCCAUGCCAUCAAGAUCCACUUCUCACACUUCAGAUUUCAACCCGAAUUCUGGUUCAGACCAAAGAGUAGUUAAUGGAGGUGUUCCCUGGCCAUCGCCUUGCCCAUCUCCUUCCUCUCGCCCACCUUCUCGCUACCAGUCAGGUCCCAACUCUCUUCCACCUCGGGCAGCCACCCCUACACGGCCGCCCUCCAGGCCCCCCUCGCGGCCAUCCAGACCCCCGUCUCACCCCUCUGCUCAUGGUUCUCCAGCUCCUGUCUCUACUAUGCCUAAACGCAUGUCUUCAGAAGGGCCUCCAAGGAUGUCCCCAAAGGCCCAGCGACAUCCUCGAAAUCACAGAGUUUCUGCUGGGAGGGGUUCCAUAUCCAGUGGCCUAGAAUUUGUAUCCCACAACCCACCCAGUGAAGCAGCUACUCCUCCAGUAGCAAGGACCAGUCCCUCGGGGGGAACGUGGUCAUCAGUGGUCAGUGGGGGUAGGUAACACUUGGGCAUAAUGAUGGUACUCAUUUUGUCAUUACACUAGAUAUAAAGAGGGCUGAGCUACAACUCUGUUUGAGGAAGUGUAAGUAUGUAUAUGUUAAAAAUAGUAGAAUCACCAGGAAUUGGGAAACCCAUAUUUUUAUUCUGGGCUCUACCACUUAUUCAUCAUAUAUUAAAGCAAGUCAGACACUCAUUCUGAAGUUGAGAUUUCUCAGUGAGUAAAGUGUUAAUAAUUCUUGCCUAGUCUACAUUAUGGGAUUGUGAUGAGAUUCCUAUAAGGUUCAUAAAUACAGAUAUAUUGUAAAACUAUAAAGUUUUGUAAAGUACCUCUCUAAUAUGAGGCAAACACAGUAUGUAACACUAUUUGGAGGGACCGUAUUUCCUUAUCUUUUUAGCAGCUUUGUUUAUCAGUACAUUCUAUAAACAUUUAUUUUUGGCUUACAUUGUAGUGUGUUUCUAUAGCAUCUUUAUAUGGCACUAAUUCCCAACUAUAUUUCCAUAAUAAGGAAUAUCAAAUACAAAUAAAGGGUCCAAGUUUUAUUUGUGAUUAGCAUAAGGAAUAUGCUGACAGCAGCUAUAAAAGUAUAAAAAUUAGGCUGGGUGUGGUGGCUCACGCCUGUAAUCCCAGCACUUUGGGAGGCUGAGGUGGGCGGAUCACAAGGUCAGGAGAUCGAGACCAUCCUGGCUAACAUGGUGAAACCCCGUCCCUACUAAAAGUACAAAAAAAAUUAGCCGGGCAUGGUGGCGGGUGCCUGUAGUCCCAGCUACUUGGGAGGCUGAGGCAGGAGAAUGGCGUGAACUCGGGAAGCGGAGCUUGCAGUUAGCUGAGAUCACGCCAUUGCACUCCAGCCUGGGCAACAGAGCAAGACUCUGUCUC